rnacentral:rRNA from 1 species
GACGUAGGGCGCGAGCGUUGUCCGGAUUCAUUGGGCGUAAAGAGCGUGUAGGCGGCCAGGUAGGUCGGUUGUGAAAACUGGAGGCUCAACCUUCAGAGGUCGACCGAAACCAUCUGGCUAGAGUCCGGGAGAGGAGAGUGGAAUUCCUGGUGUAGCGGUGAAAUGCGCAGAUAUCAGGAAGAACACCCGUGGCGAAAGCGGCUCUCUGGAACGGUACUGACGCUGAGACGCGAAAGCGUGGGGAGCGAACAGG